AUUUUUAGUUACACAGUAACAAAUGUGACUGAGGUCUACCUGCGCUCUCAGCUGAUGCUGGCACCUUUAUUGCCUAGGUGUUUAAUGCUUCUCAGGUCUGCAUCCUAUCUCCCGUCACACACUCUCAUAUGCUAUGUAGGAUGAGGACACAGCUGACACACUUAGUCACUGCACCUUGUAUGAUAUAAUACAACAGCUGAGAGAGUGGGACACAUUCUUCAUUCCCAUUCUGUCAGUGUAACAUAGCAUAUAGCAGCUGAGAACGGGGUACAUCCCUGACUCACAUGAUGUCACAAUGUCACAUAUGAUAUCAUAAGUCAUCCAGUGGGCUAGGCACGGUGGCUGACACCUAUAAUCCCCACACUUUGAGCCUGCCAAAGUGCCUUUUAAGUGCCUUUCACAUAAAGACUAUGACACAGCUAAGCUAUUCAUGUACUAAUAAAUACCUGCCCUGAGCUGUGUGACCACGGACACCACCCUAUAAUGUGGCCAGUGUGUAGGAACUCUGCAGGCUCAGAUCAUUCCAGACAUACAUGCAGAUGUUGGAACUCCCUUGCACAGUGACUCAUGAUCCCAAGGCUGAGUGCUGAGGGCAGGAUUAACCUCAGCGAUUGUUGCUGGCAUCAGUGCAGCCCUGGGACCAGAGCACACCUGGGUGCCUGGUGCUACGACUCCCAGGACCCCAAGUGUGGUGAGGACAGAGUGUCAUGUGAG